UGCCAGCCGCCGCGGUAAUACGGAGGACUCGAGCGUUAUCCGGAUUUAUUGGGUUUAAAGGGUGCGUAGGUGGCAAUGUAAGUUAGUGGUUAAACGGAUGGGCUCAACCUGUUCUCGCCAUUAAAACUACGUAGCUAGAGAUAAGAUGCAGCUGGCGGAAUGUGUAGUGUAGCGGUGAAAUGCUUAGAUAUUACACAGAACACCGAUUGCGAAGGCAGCUGGCUAAUCUUCAUCUGACACUGAUGCACGAAAGCGUGGGUAGCGAACGGGAUUAGAUA
rnacentral:rRNA from 1 species